rnacentral:misc_RNA from 1 species
AUGAAAUAUAUUGUCUAAUAUUUUACAAUAUUUCAGAUAAAAAGGAAUUAUUUGUUGGUGCUUCGACAGAUCUUAUUAUUCCUUGAUGAAUAGCCUUCAGAGAAUGGCCAGACCUCUCACUGUUUUAGUGGAGGGAAAUAUUGGCGCAGGAAAAACACAAUUUAUAAACCGGUUUAAUAACAUUCCUCAUCUUCAAAUACUUCAGGAACCUGUGGAUAAAUGGAGGAAUGUAAACGGGAAUAAUCUUCUACAGUUGAUGUACCAGGAUCCAUGCCGCUGGUCACUUGCAUUUCAAACCUAUGUCCAGCUAACAAUGCUAGAAAACCAUGCUGUAUCCCUGUAUCCUAUAAAGAUUAUGGAAAGAUCUAUCUAUAGCGCCAGAUACUGCUUUGUGGAAAAUCUGAAGAGAACAGGAAAAAUGCAGAGUUCUGAAUACGAGGUUCUGAAAGCCUGGUUUGAAUAUCUUAUAUCUGCUCCUGAAAUGAAUAUUGAUGCAGAUCUAAUUGUUUAUCUCAGAACUACACCGAAGGUGGCUUACGAGAGGCUAAAGUUGAGGAGCCGUGGAGAGGAGCAUUUAAUACCACUUCAAUAUAUUAAGGAUCUGCACGGACUUCACGAAGAUUGGUUACUCAACCAUUCCUUCCCUAUCCCUGCCCCUGUAGUGGUUAUUGACGCUGAUAAGGAUGCCUGUGAUUUAGAGGAGGACUUUCUUAACGUCAAGAACAUGAUUAUAAAACCAAUAUACAACCAAACCUUGAAAACUAAAUGUGUGUAGGAUAAUGGACAAUUGUUCUUGAUAAAGUUUUUUUUUUGUGGAGAAAAAAUCUCGUUUUUGUUUUGUAAUUUCAUUAAAAUGAAAGUUCACAUUUUUAUUAAAUCACUGAUGAGAUAUGUUUAAAAUAUCUUCAAUACUCUUCUUUACUCAUCAAUUUAGCAUAUUAUUUUGUCGGUCCAAAAGUGUGAAUUGUGUAGUUCAGAACAGUUUAAAUAAGAAUAAAAGAUAGAUUUUGUGUUAGUGUAAAUCUUUCAAAUAUCGUAAUAUAGUGUUGUAUCUAAUUCAAUUUAAUGACAUCUCAUAAAAGUGGCUAUUAAGGAAUCAAUCAAGAUUUGUACAGCACUGCUACCAUAAACACUAAAAUAAAGGAGUGUUUAAUUGUUUUUCUAUUAAUAUUUAUUAUGACUGUUGUGUUUAGCAAUAAUCAUUGACCAACCUUUGAUUGAUUGAUAUAUCAUUGUGUGACAACAGAACAGAAUUUGUAAUAUUUCGUUAUUUAUCGAAUCAUUGAUAAAUUAUAAAAUAUACUGAACUAAAAUCCAAUAAAAACAUGCCAUAACCUCA